rnacentral:rRNA from 1 species
CUCCUACGGGAGGCAGCAGUGGGGAAUAUUGGGCAAUGGGGGAAAGCCUGAUGCAGCCAUACCGCGUGAGUGAAGAAGGCCUUCGGGUUGUAAAGCACUUUCAGAGGGGAGGAAAAGGUGGUGGCUAAUAUCCAUCGGCCGUGACGCUACCCACAGAAGAAGCACCGGCUAAUUCCGUGCCAGCGCCGCGGUAA